rnacentral:lncRNA from 1 species
GAAUGAGGCAGGGACAAACGCCUGCGUUGGCAGGACGCGGUGGUUAGGGCUGAUAUACUGCAGCUGGUUAAUACCUGGCCUGGGGAGCUGGGAGCAGCUUGUGUCUUUAUUGCUUGGUUUUUGGUUUAUAGCUCUUGGCAGAUACCCAGAGAACGAGAUGAGUCCCUGUUUUUAAUCCUGUUACAGAACCAACCCCACAACAUGAUGCUGAGCACCACGGAGCGUGCAGGCAUGGGGAAUACCCCUGCCACAGAGCUGUGCCUGCUGUGAUUGCUGUGCCCUUCUCCCGGGAGGUGCUGCCAUCCCCUGCACACGAGUCGGGGCAAAACCCUGGAUGUUCUGGCUCUCGUGCUUCCCCUUUGAGACAACGGGCUGUGCCUGCAGACCAGGAGUAGGAGGAACUUCCCUCCUACUAGGGAGGGGGUGACAUCCCACGCUUCAGUCUGCUUUGUUAUCCACGACUGUUUCCUCGUUGUGUUUGUUAUGGAAUUGGAGAGCACAGUUGGCAGACGCAGCCCAUGAACACUGCACAAGCUCUAUGAGGAGAGAGAAGAGCCACCAAAAUCUGCCUACUCCUCAUUGAGCCUCUGUGUAUUGCACGAAUGGUGGUCAUCAACCCAGGAUUGCCAGACCUGAGCCUCAGAGAGCAGGGAAGACGGAGUGUUUCCAAGAUUUUUAAUGACGGUAGGUGGAACAGUGCUAUGCCACUGCAGCAGUGGUGGUGCCUGCCUGCACCCAAACAGCACACCUACAUGUGGGGCAAUGCUGCAGUCGUGUCAUCAGAGUGCCUUUGACAAGCUUCAAGGUGACACCACAGUCACUCAGAGAUCACACAGGUGCUGGGGGUUCCUGGCCCUGAUGCCCAUGUAG